CGCUUCAUGGCCAAACGCUGUAGUGGUUGGAGAUGAAUGGAUUUGGACAGCUGGAUACCCCCAAGAUAACAUAGUGUAUUGUAGAAAGAAUAUCAGUGACCGUGCAGUCAAAGUCGUGGAAACCGAUAAUUCACCAGGUCUGACUUGUCCGGAAAUUACUGGAAUAGUAGUUGGUAUUUCUGUACUUGUUCCCGUGGUAGUCAUUAUAGUUGCUAUUGUAAAACUACGUAAGAAGGAAGCUCGCAAAGGAAAAUUUCGCUUUCUGAUACCAAUGAUACUAAUACCUCUACUAUCUGUGCUUAUUGCAGGAUUAGCAACUUAUUUUCUGUGUAAAAACUCGAAGGGUACUGGAGCAGUUAUUGGUACUCCUGCUGUAUUUGGUUUAGUUCAGCUCAUACUUGAAGUUGUCAUUUGCUACUUGGCUAGCAGGGAAAGCAGACCUCAGAAAUCCAAAAAGUAUCUUGGUGAGUCUCCUGAUGAGCCCCCUGAUAAGCCUCCUCCUUAUGAGCUUCAUUGUUCUAAUUAGCCUUCUCCUUCUUUCUUCUAAUCAGCCGUUUUCUUUUCAUCAGCGUUUUGGAGCUAUGGAUUUAAGACUCAUUUCGCAAAAAUCAAGAUUAUGGAAACUGCUGUAUUUCAUGAAAUCAAUUGUGAACAACUCAGUUUGCCAUUCGGAAAAUCUGCUGUCUAUGGCAAUUUCAAUUGUUUCAAACAUUUUCUUUGAGCCCUUUACUAUUUACUAAUUAAAUCAAAAUGAUUAAGAAAUAUGACAUUUAAACUGAUGUUCUUAACUCAAAAAUUAAAUAUGUUGCCUAUCAAGCUUGUAGUAGAAAAGGACGUAACUACAUAUGUGGGCCUUGUUGUUUCGGCCGAGUCAUGUUGUUUUUAAAAGAUCAUAAAUUAUAGUUGUUUGUUUUUGAACACAUAUUUUGGUUUUUAAAAUAAGUAGUAACAAAGUAUUAAGAGGUUUAUAAGGCGAAGUAAAAUGUUUUGUGAUUGUUUAACUGGAAUUGGGUUAACAGUAUCGUAAUUUGGAAAUUAACACAUAAACAUUCUCAAAGUAUUAAUGGGUUUAUCUCAUCGCUUUUUGUAUUGUCUAUGUGUAUUACCCCGAUUGUUAGGGACUUGCCCGAUAUUAAGGGAGGUAUUUUAUAUUGUGUUUUGACGUAGUACCCCAGGAUGCCCCGGAAUUACGGGAGUCAUUUUAUUGGUUAUACUAUAGAUUGAUUGGUUAUACUAUAGAAGAAGGGUUGCGAAUGUGAAGUUUUGUUUUGUGUGUUUUAAGAGAGAUAACCCGUUGUUAGUUUUGAUAAAUUCUUUCAAAAAUGUCUUAUUUAAGACUUGUGAAAUGUGUUCAGAUCAUUCAUUAACCUUUUUCUCUAGGUAAAUAAAACAAUACGACAAAAUCCUAUUUUAAAUUUUGUUUAUGAAAAUUCUAAUGUAAAUAAUAUUGUAUAAUAGAUCGUUAUUUAAAGUAUGUUCCACGUGCUAAUUUGAUUAUCCAAUUGAGUUCACCCCAUAAUAUAAAGUAGAGGAUAAAACUUGGGUACGGGUGGCAGUUAUAAUAUUUUUCAUCCUGUGCUUUUAUAUUAUGAGGUGAACACAAUUGGAUAAUCAAAUUAGCAAGUGGACAAUACUGGCAUAUUAAUUAAUCCUUAAUCAGAACCUUUGAGGUACAUUUUGUAUUGUUAUUAUUGCACUUAUUAUUAUUCCUUUGAUGGUUUCAAAUUAGUUAUUGUUUUUGUUACCUUGUUGUAUAUGAUUUGACUUCUUGCUAAUACACUGUCAUUACUUACUUGAGAACGACAAGAGCAACUUGUUCAAACUUAGUGGGAAAAAAAUUCAGUCAUUGUUUUCCAAAUAAAUUGUGUUUUAAUAUUUGUUAAAUUUCAAACAGGUAUUUGAUGGUUUUGAAUAGAAAUAAAAAUUUAAGUACAAAAAUGCUAAUAAUAUACAAUUUUUAAAGUAAAAUGUGGGAACUUUGAACAUGUACAACGUCUCCCCGGUUAUUCACAAUAUUUGUUAUGUUUCUUGCAUUUGAUUAUCUAUAACAAAUGAAUUUACUGUUACAUUUUGAUAGAUUUAUUAAAUUUCCAUUAAUUUAUCGAAUGCAAUUUUAUAAACCGUUCAAAGUAACCCCACUUUUAAAGCAAGAUUGAACAUCUAAAUAUUUUUUCUUAAACUUUGAAAAAAAAAUUUUUUUUAAAGUAAACAUUGAUAAAAAAUUUUUUUAAAGUAAAACAUUAAUUUUUUUUUUUUUUUAAAGCAAAACAUAUUCUUAAUUUUUUGAAUUGUUAAUUUUAUAAGUAUUUUGAUGAAUUAAAAAUUUUCUGAAUGGAAAUUUAUGUAUCGUUCAAAAUUACCCCACAGGUGUGAAAAGAUUGAACACCUUAUUAUGUAAACAGAAUAAUAUCUGAACGAUAUCAUUCCAUCUUGUUCACAAAGCGGGAUUAAUUAAAACAUCCUAAUAUGUCAGCCGUCACUUAUGAUGUUAAUAAAAUUA